rnacentral:rRNA from 1 species
UACGUAGGGGGCAAGCGUUGUCCGGAUUUAUUGGGCGUAAAGAGCGUGUAGGCGGUUUGGUAGGUCCGUUGUGAAAACUCGAGGCUCAACCUCGAGACGCCGGCGGAAACCAUCAGACUAGAGUCCGGAAGAGGAGAGUGGAAUUCCUGGUGUAGCGGUGAAAUGCGCAGAUAUCAGGAAGAACACCCGUGGCUAAGGCGGCUCUCUAGUACGGUACUGACGCUGAGACGCGAAAGCGUGGGGAGCGAACAGG